CUUUCCUACACAACCCAUUUACAGUGUACUAAUCACAAAAGAUCAUCGACACACUAUUGCCCUUUAGCGAACAUUGGUUCAUUUUCCAUUUCACCUUCCCGUGUUUUCUCCUCAUUCUUUUCAACCUUAUCCCUUCAUGUCCACCUAUUUGAUCCAACUACUAGUCAGAUGCCUGCAUUUUAAUACUUGGGAAACGGAAGGCAAACCGAAAUUCAGUUGCAACAUUUGUACAAUUAGGAGCAUUGAAAAAUAAUAUGGAUUGGUUAUUGACAAUAUGGUCAAUCAGUAUGAUUAUUUAUGACUGAUUAUUGAUAAGCUGCUGGUCCUGCAUCAUGCUAUUGACUGUUUGAUUAUUGAUUAAUGCUUAGCUCAAGAUAUGAGUUAAGGUUGAGAUAGGUGGUUGUGGUUAGGUUUAGGGGCACGGCUUAAUAUUAGAGGCAGGACUAUGCUGUUAUGGUUGUGAUUAGUUUGCAUCAGGACUAUGGGAUGGUGCUAUUAUACUAAACCCGAUUGGAAAUGUGGUGUCAGUCGCAGCAAGUUACACAGAAGCACAAAGACUGCAGAUGAUGGACUAUUGAAUACAAGCCAGAUGCUGGUGGAGUUCAGCAUGUUGAGCAGCAUCUAUGGAGGGAAAAGGACUGAUAAUAUAUUUAGUUUAGACUGCCAGGACAAAGUUUCCAAUCAGGACACAUCUUCAGACUCAACAGAUGAUGUUUCAGGUCAACACUCCAACAUUUUUGGGGUAAGGCAACACCAGUCAGUGCUCUUGUGAAUAUUUUCAUUCCUCCUUAAGGGACAAAAAAAAUCAUGCCUCCCUUUUCCACAAACCACAGUGAUCAUUCUGAAUAGUUUGGCUCAUGAAAGGUCACAACCUGAAACCUCGUCUGUUCAUUUCCCUCUGCAGAUGCUGCCUGUCCCACUGAGUUCAUUCAAUGCUUGUAGCAAGUAACAUGUUGUCACUGGACAUGCCCAGCAGUGAAACACAUAUCUAAAAAUUUGGCCUAAGCUAAAUUGUGACAUGCACUUUUACCCAACUUACAAAAAAAAAGUGAUUGUGCUUCUCCCUCAUAAAUAAUAGAACAGAUGUCAGUGGAAGAUGGGCGAGUGAAAGUACUGGAAAUAACACCAAACAAAAAUAGUUGUUAAAUUUUCAUUAAGAACUUUUUGUGAGGAUGUAGAUUUCUGAUUUUGUAUUAGUUUUCUAGCAUUUAUUUUAUCUCAAUGAGAAAUACUAAGAAUGAACAAAUAUUCUGGUAUUGCAAAACAAUGGGAGUAAAUAGGCACAGGUGUAUUGUUAACUUUCUAUAAUGGCCUUGGAAUAUUGUUAUAUUACAGUUUAGAAAAAAAUAUUGUCUUUUAUAUCUUUUUGCUCUCAAAUACAUUCCAGUUUUCUCAUAGUCUUCUUAUUUAAUAUCUUGUAGUGCUUUUUAAAUUUAGACAAGAGCCAAAAUUGUACAGUAUUUUCCAGUUUUAUGAAUGGAGGCGAUCACAGUUCUAUUCUUGCUCUAAUAAACAGCACCAUCCCUGCCCCCAUUGAUUUAAAAAAAACACUGGGAUUUGCAUGGAAAUGUUGCAUUAGAUAUAUACUAAUUUGAUGUUGCAAUGAUUAACUAAUGUUGCAAUUGUUAACACCAAGUUUGUAUACCUUUGUCUGUGUGUGUGUGUGUGUGUGUGUGUGCGCGUGUGUGUGUGCGUGUGCCUGUGGGGAUGUGUGUGUGAGUGUUUAUAUUUAAAUCGGAGAAUGCAAUUUCCAUGUUGUAUAUGUGCAACAUUGAUGUAUUUGUCCUGGCAAAUAAACCUUUGUUU